ACGGCUCGCCGAGCUUCGAGAAC
rnacentral:miRNA from 1 species